CGUAGGGUGCAAGCGUUAAUCGGAAUUACUGGGCGUAAAGCGUGCGCAGGCGGUUCUAUAAGACAGAUGUGAAAUCCCCGGGCUCAACCUGGGAACUGCAUUUGUGACUGUAGAGCUGGAGUACGGUAGAGGGGGAUGGAAUUCCGCGUGUAGCAGUGAAAUGCGUAGAUAUGCGGAGGAACACCGAUGGCGGAGGCAAUCCCCUGGACCUGUACUGACGCUCAUGCACGAAAGCGUGGGGAGCAAACAGGAUUAGAUACCCUGGUAGUCCACGCCCUAAACGAUGUCAACUGGUUGUUGGGAAGGUUCCUUCUCAGUAACGUAGCUAACGCGUGAAGUUGACCGCCUGGGGAGUACCGGCCGCAAGGUUG
rnacentral:rRNA from 1 species